UGGGGCCUACGGGGCGCAGCAGUGGGGGAUAUUGCACAAUGGGGGGAACCCUGAUGCAGCGACGCCGCGUGGGUGAAGGAGUGCUUCGGCAUGUAAAUCCCUAUCGGCAGGGAAGAAGCAAGACGGUACCUGACUAAGAAGCCCCGGCUAACUACGCGCCAACAGCCGCGGUAAUACGUAGGGGGCGAGCGUUAUCCGGAUUCACUGGGUGUAAAGGGAGCGUAGACGGCCAAGCAAGCCAGGGGCGAAAGCCCGGGGCCCAAACCCGGGACUGCCCUUGGAAC
rnacentral:rRNA from 1 species